rnacentral:rRNA from 1 species
GACAGAGGGUGCGAACGUUGUUCGGAAUUACUGGGCGUAAAGCGCAUGUAGGCGGCAGCGCAAGUCGGGCGUGAAAUCCCACGGCUCAACCGUGGAAGUGCACUCGAAACUGCGCAGCUAGAGUCCUGGAGAGGAAGGUGGAAUGCUUGGUGUAGAGGUGAAAUUCGUAGAUAUCAAGCGGAACACCGGUGGCGAAGGCGGCCUCUGGACAGUGACUGACGCUGAGAUGCGAAAGCGUGGGGAGCAACAGG